CAUUUCCUUCCCCUUAGUAUACUGAUUACAAGAGCCAAUGGAUAAAUCUUGAGGAUAUAAGGCAGGGGAUGGAAUAAAGCCCUCAAGAGGCAGAAAGGGAGGGAAUCAAGAACACGAGAGUUUGUUUGGCCUAGGGCAGGAGGACAAACGACUUUUCUUGAGAUGAAAGGCAGACUAUUUGAAGACAGACCUAAAGUAGAGGGGAGGAAAGUUAGGAGAGUUUACACUUAAGGGGAGAAGAGUGGAGGAGAAGCAAUGGACGUUAGAUUGACAAGUUUGAAAACUUCAUCAGGAUUAGAUGAAAAAUAAAAGGACUACUGAGGCUCUAAUAUGUUAACUUGCAACAGCUACAACAGUUCUGAAAACAUUCCCCAGCAGUGCUCAGCAACACGGGACGGGACGAGCAAAGAACGUGGAUGGCGGGAUUCAUUCAGGAUUGGGAACUGGCAGGGUGAGAGGGGCCUGAGGAAACUGAUCUGAGAAAGCUCUUGAAAGCCUCCCGUAGUGAAUGAUUAUAAGGUAUAAGGUAGAAAGGGAAGGAAGUCAAGGAAGUUGACAGAGCGGAAUAGAGAAGAGCUGGAGGAUUUAAAAUCUUGCUGAGGUCACAAAGUGAUUUAUAGCAACCUAACUAGCCUUCAUUCUUUUGAUUUUGACAAAUAAAAUCAACUUGUCUUUUGAAGCUUCAGACUAGAAAAUGUGAAAAUAAAUGUUUUAAAAUUACAGGUCUUCUAAAUGGUAAAAUUGAAUUUUUACUUGGAUUACCAUAAGACAGUCCUUUAGGCAGAAAAAAAAUGACUACAGCUUAAACCUCAGUAGAUAGAUUAAUAGAUUUUAUUAGAUUUAAACUACUCAUCAUAUUCUGGUUUUCGUCUGUAUUAACAACUGUGAUUAUAGUUUAAGUGAAAAAAUAAAUUUUUGAUUAUUCAAUGAAUAAAAUGACUCUUUAUGAGUCCCCAAUUGAAUGUCAAGCAUGUCCAUCAUUGACAAAGGCAAGAUAAAAAUGAUCAAAAUAAUCAUGAAUAGCCAAAAUUAAUUUGAUUAGGUAAGGAAUAACGUAUUUAAGCAAUCUUUAUACUUAAAGGUAAAUAUUUUAAUUUCUGUCUAUAUAGAUAGCAUUAGAUCUUUCUGAAUAAUUAUUAAGCUUUUUUUUUUUUGGCUGGGAAACUUUAGCUCUGAGCUAACAUCUGUUGCCAAUCUUCUUCUUUUUCUUUUUCCUCCCUCCCCAAAGCUCCAGCACAUAGUUGUAUAUUCUAGUUGUAGGUCCUUCUACUUCUUCCAUAUGAGCUGCUGCCACAGCACGGCUACUGACAGACAAGUGGUGUGGUUCUGCAGCCAGGAACCGAACCAAGACCAGCCAAGCAAAGCACACUGAACUUUCACCACUAGGCCAUCAGGGCUGGCUCAUUAAGCUUUUUUUUUCAAGUUAGGCAUUUAGAAACAGAAAGUUCAAAUUUCUAUAGUGUAGCACAAAUAUCCAUGAUUUAAUGAGGUUUCCUUCUAUCAAUUAAAAUGGAAGAUUCAAAGAAUUUUGAAAGUUACUAAAAGCAGUACCCAACUUGAAAAAGGUUUAGGUUGAGUGCUUCGGUGAGAAUUUCGCAUCCAAGUAUACAGUGAUUAGAUCUCAGACAACAUAUUAUAGAAUCCAUCAAGCCAAAUGCAAUGUUGCUGAAAAAUAAACUUUCACUUUGGGACGUCAGCAACACACCUAAUACAGGAAAUCAGGGUCACUCUCUUUUCUUUCCUAUCUCCAACACUUUUACUGUAGCCAUAGACGGCUCCAGGGGCUUGGGGCUGGAAAUUAAACAAAAGGUAUGGAGUCCGGUUAAGGAACCAUAAAGUUAAUUGUGCCUGAUAGUAUAGCUUUUGGCUACUUGUCAGUCAAGUAUGAAUUCCUCCAGUUAACACUUUUCUUUUCUUUAAUCAUAGAGAUUAAAGAUGCCUACUUCCCUUUCCAUUCAAGCAUGAACUGCCUUUAAAGGCAGUAGUCAUGUGGGUGGGAAAGAAAAGGGCAUUUCCUCCUGCUUUUG
rnacentral:lncRNA from 1 species